rnacentral:rRNA from 1 species
UACAGAGGGUGCUAGCGUUGUUCGGAAUCAUUGGGCGUAAAGGGCGUGUAGGCGGUUUGUUAAGUCAUGUGUGAAAUCCCUCGGCUCAACCGGGGAACGACGCAUGAAACUGGCAAGCUAGAGUACCAAAGAGGGGGGUGGAAUUCCCGGUGUAGCGGUGAAAUGCGUAGAUAUCAGGAGGAACACCGAUGGCGAAGGCAGGUCACUGGGCCGCAACUGACGCUGAGGAGCGAAAGCAUGGGGAGCGAACAGGG